rnacentral:rRNA from 1 species
GAUGAACGCUAGCUACAGGCUUAACACAUGCAAGUCGAGGGGAAACGACAUCGAAAGCUUGCUUUUGAUGGGCGUCGACCGGCGCACGGGUGAGUAACGCGUAUCCAACCUGCCCACCACUUGGGGAUAACCUUGCGAAAGUAAGACUAAUACCCAAUGAUAUCUCUAGAAGACAUCUGAAAGAGAUUAAAGAUUUAUCGGUGAUGGAUGGGGAUGCGUCUGAUUAGCUUGUUGGCGGGGUAACGGCCCACCAAGGCUACGAUCAGUAGGGGUUCUGGAGGGAAGGUCCCCCAAAUUGGAACUGAGACACGGUCCAAACUCCUACGGGAGGCAGCAGGGAGGAAUAUUGGUCAAUGGACGGGAGUCUGAACCAGCCAAGUAGCGUGCAGGAUGACGGCCCUAUGGGUUGUAAACUGCUUUUAUAAGGGAAUAAAGUGAGUCUCGUGAGACUUUUUGCAUGUACCUUAUGAAUAAGGACCGGCUAAUUCCGUGCCAGCCGCCGCCGUAA